rnacentral:rRNA from 1 species
UGGCGAAGGUGGAUCUCUGGGCCGAUACUGACGCUGAGGAGCGAAAGCGUGGGGAGCGAACAGGAUUAGAUACCCUGGUAGUCCACGCCGUAAACGGUGGGCACGAGGUGUGGGCGACAUUCCACGUCGUCCGUGCCGCAGCUAACGCAUUAAGUGCCCCGCCUGGGGAGUACGGCCGCAAGGCUAAAACUCAAAGGUAUUGACGGGGGCCCGCACAAGCGGCGGAGCAUGUGGCUUAAUUCGACGCAACGCGAAGAACCUUACCAAGGCUUGACAUACACCGGAAAGCAUCAGAGAUGGUGCCCCCCUUGUGGUCGGUGUACAGGUAGUGCAUGGCUGUCGUCAGCUCGUGUCGUGAGAUGUUGGCUUAAGUCCCGCAACGAGCGCAACCCUUGUCCCGUGUUGCCAGCAGGCCCUUGUGGUGCUGGGGACUCACGGGAGACCGCCGGGGUCAACUCGGAGGAAGGUGGGGACGACGUCAAGUCAUCAUGCCCCUUAUGUCUUGGGCUGCACACGUGCUACAAUGGCC